rnacentral:lncRNA from 1 species
CGUCUGCACCUUGAAAAAAAUAUUUGUAGCUCGUCGAGGCAUGCAUUCACAUCUGAUAUGUAAACUAGGCCAACAAGAAGUACUAUACAGUUCGAGUUACAGCGUGUUUCUUCUUUUUUUUUUUUUUGUAUAAUCACCUCUUAUCUUUCAUGCUCAUUUGCAGCAGUUGUCACUGGCUUCCCUGGAUAAGUCCCUAGAAGUGGACCUACAUUUCAGCCUACUAGGAGCUUGUCAAGCAGGAAGACAUGAGAAUCCAAAAUCAUCUGCGCCUUCCCUGGAUACUAGGCGACCUGCGCUCCAAUCCAUGGUGGAAAUGAAAUGUCACGAGUGCAAAAGACUCUACUGUGAGCUUGUCAAGCAGGAGGACAUGAGAAUCUAGAAAGCAAAUGGUCCUCCUCACCAGCAACAUGCUGGAUUCAGGCACUUACGUGGUCGGAUUAUAGCACGUGGAACAUGCACUGCGGAGGUAAACCAUUUACAAGACAAGACCAACAUGGCGUUCCGUACCACAACAUCUGACCUUGCAGAUGUACUCCGUUAUUCAUUGCGUUACAGCCGGCAUACUAAAGCGACAUAAUAAAAGCCCGUUAAC